UACGUAGGGUGCAAGCGUUGUCCGGAAUUAUUGGGCGUAAAGAGCUCGUAGGCGGUUUGUCGCGUCUGCUGUGAAAACGCGAGGCUCAACCUCGCGCCUGCAGUGGGUACGGGCAGACUAGAGUGCGGUAGGGGAGAUUGGAAUUCCUGGUGUAGCGGUGGAAUGCGCAGAUAUCAGGAGGAACACCGAUGGCGAGGCAGAUCUCUGGGACCGUAACUGACGCUGAGGAGCGAAAGCGUGGGGAGCGAACAGG
rnacentral:rRNA from 1 species